rnacentral:rRNA from 1 species
ACAUCCAAGGAAGGCAGCAGGCGCGUAAAUUACCCAAUCCUGACACAGGGAGGUAGUGACAAUAAAUAACAAUGCCGGGCCAUCAUUGGUCUGGCAAUUGGAAUGAGAACAAUUUAAAUCCCUUAUCGAGGAUCAAUUGGAGGGCAAGUCUGGUGCCAGCAGCCGCGGUAAUUCCAGCUCCAAUAGCGUAUAUUAAAGUUGUUGCAGUUAAAAAGCUCGUAGUUGGAUUUGUGGCGUACGGUGUGUCCCGGGCACUUGUUGUCUGAGUGACCUGCUGUUGCCAUCCUUGGGUGGAACCUGUGUGGCAUUAGGUUGUCGUGCAGGGGAUGCCCA